rnacentral:rRNA from 1 species
CGUGUAGGCGGAUUCGGAAGUCGGGUGUGAAAGCCCUGGGCUCAACCCAGGAAGUGCGCUCGAAACCACGAAUCUAGAGAUCCGGAGGGGAUCGGGGAAUUCCCAGUGUAGAGGUGAAAUUCGUAGAUAUUGGGAAGAACACCGGCGGCGAAGGCGCCGAUCUGGACGGAUUCUGACGCUGAGACGCGAAAGCGUGGGUAGCAAACAGGAUUAGAUACCCUGGUAGUCC